rnacentral:tRNA from 1 species
ACUGUUUUGGCAGAGAAUAUGCACUAAAUAUAGGAUUUAAUUAUAUAGUAUACCUAUAAAUAGUAAAAUAAUUUUUUUUAAAAAGCUAAUUAUUUU